rnacentral:tRNA from 1 species
ACCUGGGUGGCUUAGUUGGUUAAGCGUCAGACUCUUGAUCUGGCCCAGGUC